rnacentral:piRNA from 1 species
UGACUUAGGGCUGGAACAUUCUGUGGUGG